GUUUCAGUUUGUUAUCCAGCGGUCAGACCGCCUUCAGUUCAUUCUUUAAAUAAGUGUUUGUAUAAAGCGGAACGGCGCAGGCGUUAACCCGGGCCAUCCCGAAAGGUUCACAGGGGUUUGGUUUGGACGAGUGCACGCGCGGUCCCCGCAACACGGCGUUUCCACCGGUGCUGAGGGCCGCGGCGCCCCGGAUGAAGUUUCAAUAAUGAUCCUUCCGCAGGUUCACCUACGGAAA
rnacentral:misc_RNA from 1 species